AUCCAAGGUGAUUCCCUCUCCAAGGGGACACCCAGUGCCCCUCUCAGGAAAGUAGCAACUUGGAAUAGAAUCUGGCAUGCCUAAGGUCUUGGGAACAGGGAUGCUUAUUUCCUCUGCCUUCCUUGGCUGCUUACAUGG
ensembl:snoRNA